ACUUACCUAUCUUAAAGGAACUUGUUUAUUAAUCGAUAAUACUCGUUAUCUUUUACUUCUUCUAUUUAGCUUAUAUACCGCCGUCAAAAUUAUUUUUAUAAAAAUAAUUACCUCUUCUCAACUAAUGUCAGGUCAAGGUAUAGCUUAUGAACAAGACUAAAUAAGUUACUAUAAACUUAAUUUAUAGAACCAAAUCAAACUCAUAUAAAAAAGGAUUUAAUAACAAUAUUUUAAUACUAAUUUAAUAUGAAAUUAUUAAUAGU
rnacentral:rRNA from 1 species